rnacentral:ncRNA from 2 species
AUCUGAAACUGACACUCAAGCCCUGGCACCUGUGUCGCAAGAUAUGGUGCCCUGGCCGUGGCGAUGCGUCGCCACCAGGGUGCAGAAAGAAAUGCCUGCAUCUCCCGUAUUUGGAAAGGUGUACAUGGUCUCUCAAC